ACUUACGGUCAUACCACUCUGAGCACGCCUGAUCUCGUCCGAUCCUGGAAGCCAAGCAGGGUCGGGCCUGGUUAGUA
rnacentral:rRNA from 1 species